rnacentral:rRNA from 1 species
AACGAACGCUGGCGGCAUGCCUAACACAUGCAAGUCGAACGAGACCUUCGGGUCUAGUGGCGCACGGGUGCGUAACGCGUGGGAACCUGCCUUUAGGUUCGGAAUAACUCAGAGAAAUUUGAGCUAAUACCGGAUGAUGUCUUCGGACCAAAGAUUUAUCGCCUUUAGAUGGGCCCGCGUUGGAUUAGCUAGUUGGUGGGGUAAAGGCCUACCAAGGCGACGAUCCAUAGCUGGUCUGAGAGGAUGAUCAGCCACACUGGGACUGAGACACGGCCCAGACUCCUACGGGAGGCAGCAGUGGGGAAUAUUGGACAAUGGGCGCAAGCCUGAUCCAGCCAUGCCGCGUGAGCGAUGAAGGCCUUAGGGUUGUAAAGCUCUUUCAGCUGGGAAGAUAAUGACUGUACCAGCAGAAGAAGCCCCGGCUAACUCCGUG